rnacentral:rRNA from 1 species
UACGUAGGGACCAAGCGUUGUUCGGAUUUACUGGGCGUAAAGGGCGCGUAGGCGGCAAAUCAAGUCAUCUGUGAAAUCUCCGGGCUUAACUCGGAACGGUCAGAUGAUACUGCUUUGCUAGAGUGCGGAAGGGGCAAUCGGAAUUCUCGGUGUAGCGGUGAAAUGCGUAGAUAUCGAGAGGAACACCAGAGGUGAAGACGGGUUGCUGGGCUGAUACUGACGCUGAGGCGCGAAAGCCAGGGGAGCGAACGGG